GGGCGCUGCUGCUGUGGCUCGCCUGGCUCGGCCUGCAGGCGGCGCUCUACCUACUGCCGGCGCGCAAGGUGGCCGAGGGGCAGGAAUUGAAGGACAAGAGUCGCCUGCGCUAUCCUAUUAACGGCUUCCAGGCCCUGGUGCUGACAGCCCUGUUGGUGGGGCUGGGGAUGUCAGCGGGGCUGCCUCUGGGGGCGCUCCCGGAAAUGCUCCUGCCCUUGGCGUUUGUCGCCACCCUCACCGCUUUCAUCUUCAGCCUCUUUCUCUACAUGAAGGCGCAGGUAGCCCCAGUUUCGGCCCUGGCACCUGGGGGGAACUCAGGUCCUCAUCAACCUGGCCCUGUUGAUGAAGGAGGCAGAGCUUCGAGGCAGUCCCUCACUGGCCAUGUGGCUGGUCAAUGGCUUCCAGUUGCUCUACGUGGGUGAUGCCCUCUGGCACGAGGAGGCCGUCCUCACCACCAUGGAUAUCACACAUGACGGGUUUGGCUUCAUGCUGGCGUUUGGGGACAUGGCCUGGGUGCCCUUCACCUACAG
rnacentral:lncRNA from 1 species